GGAUCCAGACUUUGAUUAUGGCUCAGGAUGAACGCUAGCUACAGGCUUAACACAUGCAAGUCGAGGGGAAACGACAUCGAAAGCUUGCUUUUGAUGGGCGUCGACCGGCGCACGGGUGAGUAACGCGUAUCCAACCUGCCCACCACUUGGGGAUAACCUUGCGAAAGUAAGACUAAUACCCAACGACGUCUCUAGAAGACAUCUGAAGGAGAUUAAAGAUUUAUCGGUGAUGGAUGGGGACGCGUCUGAUUAGCUUGUUGGCGGGGUAACGGCCCACCAAGGCAACGAUCAGUAGGGGUUCUGAGAGGAAGGUCCCCCACAUUGGAACUGAGACACGGUCCAAACUCCUACGGGAGGCAGCAGUGAGGAAUAUUGGUCAAUGGGCGAGAGCCUGAACCAGCCAAGUAGCGUGCAGGAUGACGGCCCUAUGGGUUGUAAACUGCUUUUAUAAGGGAAUAAAGUGAGUCUCGUGAGACUUUUUGCAUGUACCUUAUGAAUAAGGACCGGCUAAUUCCGUGCCAGCAGCCGCGGUAAUACGGAAGGUCCGGGCGUUAUCCGGAUUUAUUGGGUUUAAAGGGAGCGUAGGCCGGAGAUUAAGCGUGUUGUGAAAUGUAGAUGCUCAACAUCUGAACUGCAGCGCGAACUGGUUUCCUUGAGUACGCACAAAGUGGGCGGAAUUCGUGGUGUAGCGGUGAAAUGCUUAGAUAUCACGAAGAACUCCGAUUGCGAAGGCAGCUCACUGGAGCGCAACUGACGCUGAAGCUCGAAAGUGCGGGUAUCGAACAGGAUUAGAUACCCUGGUAGUCCGCACGGUAAACGAUGGAUGCCCGCUGUUGGUCUGAAUAGGUCAGCGGCCAAGCGAAAGCAUUAAGCAUCCCACCUGGGGAGUACGCCGGCAACGGUGCAACUCAAAGGAAUUGACGG
rnacentral:rRNA from 2 species